rnacentral:rRNA from 1 species
AGUGAACGCUGGCGGUAGGCCUAACACAUGCAAGUCGAACGGCAGCACAGUAAGAGCUUGCUCUUACGGGUGGCGAGUGGCGGACGGGUGAGGAAUACAUCGGAAUCUACUUUUUCGUGGGGGAUAACGUAGGGAAACUUACGCUAAUACCGCAUACGACCUACGGGUGAAAGCAGGGGAUCUUCGGACCUUGCGCGAUUGAAUGAGCCGAUGUCGGAUUAGCUAGUUGGCGGGGUAAAGGCCCACCAAGGCGACGAUCCGUAGCUGGUCUGAGAGGAUGAUCAGCCACACGGGAAGAGAACAAGGGCCCGGCCCCAACCGGGAGGCAGAAUGGGGGAUUAUGGAACAAGGGGCGAAACCCGGACCCACCCAUCCGGGGGGGGUGAAAAAGGCUUGGGGGUGUAAAGCCCUUUUUUUGGGAAAAAAAAACAAGAGGUUAAAACCCCGCGUGUCCGGAGGGACCCAAAAAAAAAGAACCGGCCAACUUUGGGC